rnacentral:rRNA from 1 species
UUUAUGGAGAGUUUGAUCCUGGCUCAGGAUGAACGCUGGCGGCGUGCCUAAUACAUGCAAGUCGAGCGAACAGACAAGGAGCUUGCUCCUUUGACGUUAGCGGCGGACGGGUGAGUAACACGUGGGUAACCUACCUAUAAGACUGGGAUAACUUCGGGAAACCGGAGCUAAUACCGGAUAAUAUUUCGAACCGCAUGGUUCGAUAGUGAAAGAUGGUUUUGCUAUCACUUAUAGAUGGACCCGCGCCGUAUUAGCUAGUUGGUAAGGUAACGGCUUACCAAGGCGACGAUACGUAGCCGACCUGAGAGGGUGAUCGGCCACACUGGAACUGAGACACGGUCCAGACUCCUACGGGAGGCAGCAGUAGGGAAUCUUCCGCAAUGGGCGAAAGCCUGACGGAGCAACGCCGCGUGAGUGAUGAAGGUCUUCGGAUCGUAAAACUCUGUUAUUAGGGAAGAACAUACAUGUAAGUAACUAUGCACGUCUUGACGGUACCUAAUCAGAAAGCCACGGCUAACUACGUGCCAGCAGCCGCGGUAAUACGUAGGUGGCAAGCGUUAUCCGGAAUUAUUGGGCGUAAAGCGCGCGUAGGCGGUUUUUUAAGUCUGAUGUGAAAGCCCACGGCUCAACCGUGGAGGGUCAUUGGAAACUGGAAAACUUGAGUGCAGAAGAGGAAAGUGGAAUUCCAUGUGUAGCGGUGAAAUGCGCAGAGAUAUGGAGGAACACCAGUGGCGAAGGCGACUUUCUGGUCUGUAACUGACGCUGAUGUGCGAAAGCGUGGGGAUCAAACAGGAUUAGAUACCCUGGUAGUCCACGCCGUAAACGAUGAGUGCUAAGUGUUAGGGGGUUUCCGCCCCUUAGUGCUGCAGCUAACGCAUUAAGCACUCCGCCUGGGGAGUACGACCGCAAGGUUGAAACUCAAAGGAAUUGACGGGGACCCGCACAAGCGGUGGAGCAUGUGGUUUAAUUCGAAGCAACGCGAAGAACCUUACCAAAUCUUGACAUCCUUUGACAACUCUAGAGAUAGAGCCUUCCCCUUCGGGGGACAAAGUGACAGGUGGUGCAUGGUUGUCGUCAGCUCGUGUCGUGAGAUGUUGGGUUAAGUCCCGCAACGAGCGCAACCCUUAAGCUUAGUUGCCAUCAUUAAGUUGGGCACUCUAAGUUGACUGCCGGUGACAAACCGGAGGAAGGUGGGGAUGACGUCAAAUCAUCAUGCCCCUUAUGAUUUGGGCUACACACGUGCUACAAUGGACAAUACAAAGGGCAGCGAAACCGCGAGGUCAAGCAAAUCCCAUAAAGUUGUUCUCAGUUCGGAUUGUAGUCUGCAACUCGACUACAUGAAGCUGGAAUCGCUAGUAAUCGUAGAUCAGCAUGCUACGGUGAAUACGUUCCCGGGUCUUGUACACACCGCCCGUCACACCACGAGAGUUUGUAACACCCGAAGCCGGUGGAGUAACCAUUUGGAGCUAGCCGUCGAAGGUGGGACAAAUGAUUGGGGUGAAGUCGUAACAAGGUAGCCGUAUCGGAAGGUGCGGCUGGAUCACCUCCUUUCU